GUUGCAGGGUAUAGACCCGAAACCCGGUGAUCUAGCCAUGGGCAGGUUGAAGGUUGGGUAACACUAACUGGAGGACCGAACCGACUAAUGUUGAAAAAUUAGCGGAUGACCUGUGGCUGGGGGUGAAAGGCCAAUCAAACCGGGAGAUAGCUGGUUCUCCCCGAAAGCUAUUUAGGUAGCGCCUCGUGAAUUCAUCUCCGGGGGUAGAGCACUGUUUCGGCUAGGGGGCCAUCCCGGCUUACCAACCCGAUGCAAACUGCGAAUACCGGAGAAUGUUAUCACGGGAGACACACGGCGGGUGCUAACGUCCGUCGUGAAGAGGGAAACAACCCAGACCGCCAGCUAAGGUCCCAAAGUCAUGGUUAAGUGGGAAACGAUGUGGGAAGGCCCAGACAGCCAGGAUGUUGGCUUAGAAGCAGCCAUCAUUUAAAGAAAGCGUAAUAGCUCACUGGUCGAGUCGGCCUGCGCGGAAGAUGUAACGGGGCUAAACCAUGCACCGAAGCUGCGGCAGCGACACUGUGUGUUGUUGGGUAGGGGAGCGUUCUGUAAGCCUGUGAAGGUGUGUCGUGAGGCAUGCUGGAGGUAUCAGAAGUGCGAAUGCUGACAUAAGUAACGAUAAAGCGGGUGAAAAGCCCGCUCGCCGGAAGACCAAGGGUUCCUGUCCAACGUUAAUCGGGGCAGGGUGAGUCGACCCCUAAGGCGAGGCCGAAAGGCGUAGUCGAUGGGAAACGGGUUAAUAUUCCCGUACUUGGUGUUACUGCGAAGGGGGGACGGAGAAGGCUAUGUUGGCCGGGCGACGGUU
rnacentral:rRNA from 3 species